rnacentral:lncRNA from 1 species
UCUAUACUCAUAAGUGAUAUACUAUAUUCCUUCUAAGCAUGUUAAAAAAGAAGAUUGCAUUGUUAUUAAGUAAAUUGGAUUGUUUCAAAAUUCAGUCACAUUUACAUUUUAAAUAUUGAACAUCAUAUUUUCUUUUAAGUAUUCGGCCUACGUUGAAUUCAAGUAAAGGACAUAUUAAUGAUCUGAGAUGCAUAAAAUAUGUCCUUCCAUUCUUAAAAAAACCCAAGAAACGAAAAUGUACAAGGUACUCACUAGAAAAAACCAGGAGCCAUCAAGAACAAUGGAUGCCCAUAUUUAUAUACUUCCAAGAAAAUAUAUACAAUGUAUUAGAAAAAAGUUAAAAUAAGAAAAUGAGAAAAGAAAGUUUGUUGCUUUGAUAACAAUUCUAGAAGUCCAGAAGUGUUUUGGGGAUCGCCGUAAAAGUACUCGAUGUUUAUGACUUAA